rnacentral:rRNA from 1 species
AGAACGAACGCUGGCGGCAUGCCUAAUACAUGCAAGUCGAACGAACUCUUCGGAGUUAGUGGCGCACGGGUGCGUAACGCGUGGGAAUCUGCCCCUUGGUUCGGAAUAACAGUUGGAAACGACUGCUAAUACCGGAUGAUGACGAAAGUCCAAAGAUUUAUCGCCAAGGGAUGAGCCCGCGUAGGAUUAGCUAGUUGGUGAGGUAAAGGCUCACCAAGGCAACGAUCCUUAGCUGGUCUGAGAGGAUGAUCAGCCACACUGGGACUGAGACACGGCCCAGACUCCUACGGGAGGCAGCAGUAGGGAAUAUUGGACAAUGGGCGAAAGCCUGAUCCAGCAAUGCCGCGUGAGUGAUGAAGCCUUAGGUUGUAAAGCUCUUUUACCCGAGAUGAUAAUGACAGUAUCGGAGAAUAACGCCCCGGCUAACUCCGUGCCAGCAGCCGC